AGUGAACGCUGGCGGUAGGCCUAACACAUGCAAGUCGAACGGCAGCACAGUAAGAGCUUGCUCUUACGGGUGGCGAGUGGCGGACGGGUGAGGAAUACAUCGGAAUCUACUUUUUCGUGGGGGAUAACGUAGGGAAACUUACGCUAAUACCGCAUACGACCUACGGGUGAAAGCAGGGGAUCUUCGGACCUUGCGCGAUUGAAUGAGCCGAUGUCGGAUUAGCUAGUUGGCGGGGUAAAGGCCCACCAAGGCGACGAUCCGUAGCUGGUCGGAGAGGAUGAUCAGCCACACUGGAACUGAGACACGGUCCAGACUCCUACGGGAGGCAGCAGUGGGGAAUAUCGGACAAUGGGCGCAAGCCUGAUCCAGCCAUACCGCGUGGGUGAAGAAGGCCUUCGGGUUGUAAAGCCCUUUUGUUGGGAAAGAAAAGCAGCAGGUUAAUACCCCGCUGUUCUGACGGUACCCAAAGAAUAAGCACCGGCUAACUUCGUG
rnacentral:rRNA from 1 species